ensembl:antisense Gm14372 predicted gene 14372
CCUCUGCUGAGAUAGACGCCCGGCCAGUCAGCAGAGGAGCUCAUGGAGAACAGGGCCAGGAUUGGCUGGCCCACGGGGAAAGGCACAGUGUGACACUACAGAGGUGGUCAGGUACCAAACCUGUGCAGGUGGGUAGGGUACCUGACCUGUGAGAACUGCCAAGUGACCCUGGAAGGUGUCAUGGAGACUGCAGUGGGCUGUCCCUUCCCUGGCCUGAAGGCAGACUCUCAGAGAGAACCUGCGUACCUACCCCUCACAGCUGGUACACCUAUGCUGUUUUGUCUCCGAUGGUUGGCCAGCUAUGCUCCACAGCCCGGGAGGGACUUGGGAAAGAUUGGCCACUAAGGCUCACUAAGAACAUGUCUGUGGGGAUAGUCUUGACAAGCUCAUCUCGGCUCCAGAGUCUCUACCCACCUGACCCUGGAAUCUGAGGUUGGGAAGGGACCUGACAACGGGUCCACAAGACCCCAGAUAUCCUUAAAUCACACUGCAAACAGCCCUGAGGAUAAGGACAUGGGAUGGUUUCUGUCACUGGCUCUCAUGCCUAUCCUUAGCUUGGGUCCCUGGGCAAAACCUCCACUUGCUUGGGGGUGGGCAGUCAGCCCUGGGGCAAUAGCAACAGACAUAGACACGGAGGACUUUAGUUCCGCUCAUGGUCAACAGCCCAUGGGGGUUGUGACUAGCUGGACCUUCAGUUACAACUGCAGUGGUACUGACUGGUAUGUCUGGAGCUCUAACAGCACUGAGCUUCAAGCAUGGACUGACAGGAACCCAGGUGAGUCCGUCUAAAGCAGAUGGGGGUGGGGUGCAAAUGACCCCAAGGGACGGUCCCAUCACUAAACCUGUGCUGGUCACCUUCCCAUCCCACAACCCUUCUCCUGGUACAGACAUAGCUUUGUUUGAAGAGGGUGGGUGAACCAACACUUGCUAGGCGACCAACCUAGCAAGACUGCACAGAGGGCUUUUGGGAGGAGGUAGCAAGAUGAAAAAGGAGGGGCUAGAUUGCUUGUCAGGGCACAGCCAUCAGGACCACAAGGUGACACUAAAAGCAAGCAGCAGCUGGCCUUUCCGGAGGCAGGGGCAUGACAGAGCACAGGCCUUUCGAAUGUAAGCCAAACUCUGGAGGCACCCUCCCAAAGAGCUCACACAACUCCGAGGUAUCACCAGGCUCCCAUCUCCCCUCUUGCAGCAAGUUCAGACUGGGGCCAACCAUCCAGCCCAGGGAGAUUUAUGGCUCCAUUUGGCGUCUCUGUGUUCCACCUUAUCACAAACCACUUAUUGAGUGCUCCAGCUCAGACAACAGCAAAAAAUUAAUCCUCUCUCUAAGGGAUGAGACGCCUCAUUUCCGAGGCUCUGAUCUGUGGGCUUUCAUCUUCGAAGGCCAUUUGUCACCUCCCACCCACACCUGCACAGUGAAGGCUGGCUAGAGACAAGCCACAGGCUACUUAAGGCAGCCACCAGGACUUAGAGCGUGUUAGUUAGACCCACAGCCUGUGGCCUGGGCACGGGGCCACAGGCCAGCAACCCCACUCUGGAGGGCUAAGGCUGUAAGUAGCAUGAAUCCAGCCUGCACUCUAUAGCAAGACCCUGCCUAAGAAACCAAGCAAACAGGGCUGGAGGGAGAGCGCAGAAGUUAAGCACUUGCUCUUGCAGAGGACCCAGGUUGUUUCUAGCAGCCACCUUAGACAGUUCUGAGGGACCCGACGCCCACUUCUGACCUUCAAGGGCACUGCAUGUAUAGAUAAUCGGGCACACAGAUAGACAAGCAGGUGCACAUAUAGACGAGGAGGCACAUGCACAUUCAAAAAUAAGUAAAACAUUAAAAAAGCAAGCAAGUAAACAAACUUAACAGAAGUCUGUGGCCUAAAGAUCUGUUCUUAUGCAGCUUUCUAAAACAUUCUAGAAUCAUCU